AGACUUUUAGCAAUACCUGCCCAGUGCGAAAUAUUACUGUAAACGGCCGCCCUAGCGUGAGGGUGCUAAGGUAGCGAAAUUCCUUGCCUUUUGAUUGUAGGCCUGCAUGAAUGGUUUAACGAGGGUUUAACUGUCUCUUGAUUUAAAAUUGAAAUUGUACUGAAGGUGAAGAUACCUUCAUUAAAAAGUCAGACAAAAAGACCCCGUGCAACUUUGAAAAUUAACUUUAUUCAGAAGUGAAAGAUUUUUAGGUGGGGCGCCUAGAAAGUAAAUCUAACCUUUCUGAACAUUUAGUUCUUUCCGGAUUUGACCCGAUUAUAUUCGAUCAUAGGAGAAGUUACGCCGGGGAUAACAGGCUAAUCCUUUAGUAGAGCUCGUAUUGGCUAAAGGGAUUGGCACCUCGAUGUUGAAUCAGGGAUGAUAGCUUCAAGGCGUAGAGGCUUUGAGAGUAGGUCUGUUCGACCUUUAAUACCCUACGUGAUCUGAGUUCAGACCCGGA
rnacentral:rRNA from 1 species